CCAGCCUCAAUCGCCGUUCUUCCAUCAGUCAAGCAAAUCAGAUGGUGAUCCAUCUUCGUUUCAUCCUUAGGGUUACAGUUCCUCCUCUGCAAGGGAUUCUCUUAUAGUCUUCCAUCGUCUUCAUACAUAAGAAAUCGUCACUUCUAAUGUCUUUCUCACCAGGGUUAUGGAAUUGGGAUUAUUCAUACAAUAAUAAGCUAGCUCAUAUUCAUAAGCUUAAGAAGACAGAAGACAUGAUCUUAAUGGUUCUUCAGAUAUUCACUGCUGGGCGCUACUGAAGAAUUUGAUCAAAUUUAUGAACCACUUGCUCUACAUCCUAUAAAUGAUCAGCAAAGAUAAAGGAGCAACAUGGAUACCGCCAAUCUCACAUUACAGUGCGGGGUUUGCCAGAUUGGUGUAAUUGGUCGAAAGGUUAGACGUUAUCCAUUUACUUUUAUAUGGGGUGACUUUGGAUUUUUUAGUUACUUUUAAUGGGUUAAAUGAGUAUCAUUUCAAUUCAAGAAAGUCAUUUGCCAAAAGUAUGUAUUUCCUUCACAAUUACCCUUUACCCAAGUUGAGUUAUUCGUUUGAAGUGUAGUUUGGUUAUAAAGUCAUAAUGACCAAUUUAGAUGGUGUACAGGUCUUCUCGCCCAUUUGAAGUGGUUUUGUAGGGAAAAAGUAAUUUGCCUAUUAAAGUUGUUACAACAAGGUGUGAUUUUUGUUAUU
rnacentral:lncRNA from 1 species